GUGCUUGCUUCAGCAGCACAGAGACUAGAAUUGGAAUGAUACAGAGAGGAUCAGCAUGGCGCCAGCACAAGGAUGACACACAAAUUUGUGAAGUCUUCGAUAUUUAA